rnacentral:rRNA from 1 species
AUUGAACGCUGGCGGCAGGCCUAACACAUGCAAGUCGAGCGGAUGAAGGGAGCUUGCUCCUGGAUUCAGCGGCGGACGGGUGAGUAAUGCCUAGGAAUCUGCCUGGUAGUGGGGGAUAACGUCCGGAAACGGGCGCUAAUACCGCAUACGUCCUGAGGGAGAAAGUGGGGGAUCUUCAGACCUCACGCUAUCAGAUGAGCCUAGGUCGGAUUAGCUAGUUGGUGGGGUAAAGGCCUACCAAGGCGACGAUCCGUAACUGGUCUGAGGGGAUGAUCAGUCACACUGGAACUGAGACACGGUCCAGACUCCUACGGGAGGCAGCAGUGGGGAAUAUUGGACAAUGGGCGAAAGCCUGAUCCAGCCAUGCCGCGUGUGUGAAGAAGGUCUUCGGAUUGUAAAGCACUUUAAGUUGGGAGGAAGGGCAGUAAGUUAAUACCUUGCUGUUUUGACGUUACCAACAGAAUAAGCACCGGCUAACUUCGUG